ACUCCUACGGGAGGCAGCAGUGGGGAAUAUUGCACAAUGGGCGCAAGCCUGAUGCAGCCAUGCCGCGUGUAUGAAGAAGGCCUUCGGGUUGUAAAGUACUUUCAGCAGUGAGGAAAGGGUGGGUAUGUUAAUAGCAUACUCAUUUGACGUUAGCUGCAGAAGAAGCACCGGCUAAACUCCGUGCCAGCAGCCGCGGUAAUACGGAGGGUGCGAGCGUUAAUCGGAAUUACUGGGCGU
rnacentral:rRNA from 1 species